rnacentral:rRNA from 1 species
AUGGGCAGCAGGGCGGAGAACGCAUAUGUAGCUCUGGACGACAAAGUUGGCUGGGUUAGCAGGAAAUGGAGGGAUGUCAUGCCAGACGAACGAGCAACAAGUGCAGACAGGGUUACCACGCUAGAAAAAGCACUAACUGGGUUUGCGGACAGGGAUUCGGAAUCAGUUGUGGCUCCGUCCGUUGGGCUGACAUUUGACUCUGUAAAUGAGGCAUAUGAGUUCUACAACCUGUACUCCCGGGAGUCUGGAUUUGGUGUUCGAUAUGCAAAGAACAGGACCAAUGUAAAAGGGACGAAAUGCAUGCAGGAGUUCGUGUGCUGCUGCUCGGGCAAACCAAAAGAAGUAAAUUCGAAAUCGACACGAUGUCAAUGCCAGGCCAUGAUAAGGCUUCUCCGAACAGACGACCAAGGAUGGUACAUCAACGAAUUCAGGUCCAAUCACAACCACCCCAUGCUGAACACUUGUGCUGAGAAGUUGCAUUUCCCAUCACAUAGGCAUAUUGACAAAUACACGCGUGAGUUUGUUUCCCAACUGAGACAGAACAAUAUAGUAUAA